UGCAAGUCGAGCGAGGGAGAUUCCUUCGGGAAACGAAUUUAGCGGCGGACGGGUGAGUAACACGUGGGCAACCUGCCUUAUAGAGGGGAAUAGCCUUCCGAAAGGAAGAUUAAUACCGCAUAACAUUACAUUUUCGCAUGAAUAACUUAUUAAAGGAUUAUUCCGCUUUGAAAUGGCCCCGCGGCGUUUUAUCUUUGUGGUGGGGUAGCGGUUCCCCAGGGCCACUAUGCAUACCCGACGUGAGAGGGAGAUCGGCCACUUUGGGAGUGACACACGCCCCACACUCCUACGGGAGGCAACUGGGGGGAAUUUUGCAAUGUGGGAAAAACCCUGAUGCAACAACGCCGCGGGAGUGAUGAAGGUUUUCGAAUCAUAAAGCUCUGUUCUCAGGAACAAUAAUGACGGUACCUGAAGAAGACCCCGCGGCUAACUACGUGCCAACACCCGCGGUAAUACAUAUGUGGAGAGCGUUCCCCGGAAUACUGGGCGUAGGGGGAGUAUAAGCGAAUUUUUAAGUGAUAUGUGAAAUACCCGGGCUCAACUUGGGUGCUGCAUUUCAAACUGGGAUUCUAGAGUGCAAGAGAGGAGAGUGAAAUUCCUAGUGUCGCGGAGAUGUGCGUAGAUAUUAGAGAGAACACCAUGUGCGAAGGCGACUCUCUGGAGUGUCUGUGACGCUGAGGCUCGAACGCGUGUAGAGCACACAGAAUUAUAUACCGUGAUAGUCCACGCCAUACACUAUGAACACUAGGUGUAGGGGUUGUCAUGUGCUCUGUG
rnacentral:rRNA from 1 species